UUAAAUAAAGGAGAAAAAAAGGAAUGAUAUUGUUUGGCCGCUUCAGGCGUGCUCAGGUUUGUUUAUAGGAGUAUGUUUUAGAUGGUUUUUUUGGGUUUGGCUUGGAUCUUUUUUCUUUGGGGCUGUUUAUUUCAUCUGAUGGUUAGCUUUUUGAUGUACUAACCUUCACUCCCCUCUGUAUUUAUUUCUGCUUGGUUCGCCAAAGAGUUUUUAUAUAUUAAUUCCAUUUUGCUGGAAAAAAAAAACUUGAUAAGAUAAGGCAGUUAAGUGGCAACAUCCAAACAUACCCUUAUUCACCAUCAGCUCCACCGAAAUCUGUGGCNNNNNNNUCAAAAUCUAUUGUCAUUCUUCCCUGCUUGAACAAAUCUGCCCACUACUAUUUUUCAUCUGAAAAAGUGGAAGAACAAGUGACGUGUAGCAUAGGUUACUCGCAACUCGCAACAGUUAGAGAAACGUGUAAGAUAUUCAGAUUCAGAAGACAUAUUCUUUUUUUUUUCUUAAAUAUCGGAGGACAUAUUCAAAGGUGUUAAAUAUUUUAUUAAUGUUAAUGUGGUUUUGUUCAAGUCGCUUUAGGAAUUAGGAGGACUAAGUCAAGUUGUUAGUUCCUAAACUUUAGCAUUAAGUUAUCAAGAAUGACAAAGUGUCUAUUAGUUGUCUGUCAAGUUGUUUGUAACCCUUGGGUGUAAAGCCUAUUUAAGAGACUGUUUAUUAUUGAUUAAUGUAGAAGAUUUAGUUUCCUAUUUUUCACUGCACUCACUCACAGAGUUAACAGAUUCCAAAAAUUCUCAAUCACCACCAUUAUAAAUGAAUUUAUUUGUAAAAUUUUGUUAGAGGUUGUAAUGUUUGGUUCAUCUACCUCACGUGCUUAGAUAAUGUUUCUUGGACCAUGCGCAUGGUCCAAGAAGCAUGGUCCAAGAAGCAUUGUUUAAGCACAGUGAUAUAGAUGCAUCAUCUGAAAAUCAGCCCUUAACUCCAGCUGUGGAUGCAUUUAAGAGAAAGCAGUUGACAUUUGUCCGGCUUGAUGGUGAAAAUCCUUUUAUUUCAUUGGUCUGGUUUGUACUUGCUUUUGUUUGUCAUUCUCAAUAAAAUUUCCCAUUUUUUGGUCAUAUAAAAUUGGUGCUUGCUGUGGUGCCCACAAUUUUGAACAUGGGUAGGUACAGAAAUGUCAUAGACCAAUCAUAGUUAGGCACAAUAAAUGAAUUAUAUUGUAUUUUAAUAUAUCCUUAUACUUUCAUUAAUUAUGAAACGACCCCAUUUCUAUCUAGUUUCUUAAUUAAUGACCCCACUGUCAUUUUCACUUAUCUCAGUAAAUUUUCACGUACCAUUUCUAAAAGAACUUCUGAAGGAAGUUGGAACAACAAUAGCCACAAACUUGUCAAGGAAAAGGAAAAGAAGAUGAAGUUCAACCCUAGUCUCGCGCAGCAGGCGAAAGAGCCGCAAGGCUCAUUUCACAGCACCGUCGAGCGUCCGCACGCGUCCUCAUGAGCGCACCGCUCUCAACCGACCUGCGCUCCA
rnacentral:lncRNA from 1 species